rnacentral:rRNA from 1 species
GUGAGGAAUAUUGGUCAAUGGGCGGAAGCCUGAACCAGCCAUCCCGCGUGCAGGAAGACGGCCCUAUGGGUUGUAAACUGCUUUUCCAGGGGGCGAAACUUUCCGAUGUAUCGGGAUUUGACGGUACCCUGGGAAUAAGCAUCGGCUAACUCCGUGCCAGCAGCCGCGGUAAUACGGAGGAUGCGAGCGUUAUCCGGAUUUAUUGGGUUUAAAGGGUGCGUAGGCGGAUCGAUAAGUCAGUGGUGAAACCCUGCAGCUUAACUGUAGACUUGCCGUUGAUACUGUUGGUCUUGAGUGUGGUCAAGGUAGGCGGAAUGUGUAAUGUAGCGGUGAAAUGCUUAGAUAUUACACAGAACACCGAUUGCGAAGGCAGCUUACUGGGCCAUUACUGACGCUGAUGCACGAAAGCGUGGGGAUCGAACAGGAUUAGAUACCCCAGUAGUCC